AAAUCUGAUCCAUUUAGUUUUUAAUUAAGAAAACCUAUUUUAAUGAAAACAGAAAACUUGUGUUACAAAAAAAAAAAAAUGAAAACAGAAGACAUCAUCGUCUCUUCCAAACCCACGAUUUCAAUUUCAGUAAAGAUCUGAUUGUGUUCAAUCCUUUGUUCGGUGAUUAGGCUGUUGGGUUGUUCGAUCUCGAUUCAACUCUGAAGCUCUGAAGCUACAACGUCAAUUUCUAAAGAGCAGCGGCAUCACCCACAAAGGAUCAUCGACCAGAGCAGCAGCUAAACCUCCAUAAGCAGUGUCAUAUCCAUCACAUUCCGGAUCUUAUAAGAGCUAACAGCUGGAGUUGAGUGCAAUCUCUCUGGCCACUUGGGAGGGUAUGCAUCAGGGUCCGAGCUCGCUAAGGCUUUCUUCGAUCAUAGAGACAGUGCUGAGUUGCUUGGCCCUUGUUUUGUUCUCUUCUUAUCAGGUUAGCUUUCUUGGUCCUAAAGAUGCUUUCUUGUUGAUGCUAAAAUUUGCUUUCUUGUGUAUGUUUGUGUUACUAUUUUUUUUCUCAGGGGGCAUAAUAAUUCAAGUACAUUAUAUUUUGGUGCAAGUCUUAAGUAGAAGAACAUCAUCACUAUUAUAUAGUUUGAGCUUAUGUUGGGUCUUUGAAGCUCUGAAGCUUUUCAUCAUCAUCUCCUCGCUUCCUCCUCGUUUCCGGGAAUCUUCUUGUGACUCUGUUUCUUUGAAGGUUGCUGGAUAUGGAAAAUGAAGAAGAAUAUCGAGAAUCAACAGGUACAUCUUCUAAUACUGCAAAGAGAAGAAAAACAUAUAAUAUGUGGCAAUAUUUUAGAGUAGAAAAGGAUGAGAAUGAGGAAGAGAGAGCAUAUUGUCUAAAAUGCUCAAAGAGCUAUGCGUAUACAUCAACUAGUGGAACCUCAAAUCUGAAGCGUCAUAAGCAGAAAUGCUUAGGAAUUUUGGAGGCUGAAAGAAGGGUAGUGAAUUUUGAUGAGAGAGUUGCUAGGGAGAAGUAUAGUCGAGUCAUUAUUAGACAUAAUCUUCAUUUCAUUUCGGUUGAAUAUGAAGAGCUGAGAGACUAUUUUAGCUAUUUGAAUCCAGAUUACAAGUGUUACUCUAGGAACACUGCUGCUAGUGAUGUUAUGAAAACUUGGGAGAAAGAAAAACAAAUUUUGAAGUCUGAGCUGGAAAAAAUUCCUAGUAGGAUAUGCACCUCAGAUUGUUGGACUUCACUAGCUGGAGAUGGAUACAUAGCUGUCACAGCACAUUAUGUUGAUGCAAAGUGGGUGCUACACAGCAAGAUUUUAUCGUUUUGUGAAGUUCUUCCUCCCCAUAGUAGUGAAGUCUUAGCUAGUAAAGUCCAUGAAUGUUUGAGAGAGUGGGGAAUAGAGAGAAAGGUGUUCACUUUGACUCUGGAUAAUGCCACGGCUAAUGACAACAUGCAAGACGUAUUGAGGGAUCGGCUUAAUCUAGAUGAUAAUUUGGUGUGCAAAGGAGAAUUUUUUCAUGUCCGGUGUUCUGCACACAUCUUGAACCUGAUUGUACAAGCUGGUUUGGAAGUUCUUAGUCCUGCUUUGUGUAAGAUCAGAGAAACAGCAUUUUAAAGGUUCAUUAUCUAGAAGGAUUGCACUUGCAGACUGUAUAGAUGGUGUUGAGGAUAUCACGCUGUCAAUAGAUGUCAAGAAUAGGUGGAAUUCGACCUAUCUAAUGCUGAAGAAGGCUCUGAAGUAUCAACGUGCUUUAAAGAGGUAUAAAUUAGGUGAUAAACACUACAAGCAUUGCCCUUCCAAUGAAGAAUGGAGAAGAGCUAGCAUUAUCUUUGAGCUCUUGAAGCCCUUUUAUAGCAUUACGACUUUAAUGUCUGGAAGAAGCUACUCUACUUCAAACUUGUAUUUUGCUCAUAUUUGGAAGAUUCAGUGCUUGUUGGAAGUUCAUAAGAGCAGUGAGGAUAUCGUCAUCCAGACAAUGAUUUCUAACAUGAGGGGGAAGUUUGAUAAAUACUGGGAGGAGUAUAGCGUGAUUCUUGCAAUGGGGGCUGUCUUGGAUCCUAGGAUGAAGUUAAAGCUUUUGAAGCGUUGUUAUGGUGAUCUUGAUCUAUUCACCUCCCAAGAAAAAGUUGAUCAUCUUGAGGAUCAGCUUAGGAAGAUCUUUGAUGAUUAUAGAAGACAACUCCCUUUGACUCCUGUUGUGAGCUUUACAAGACCAUAUUCUCGUGCUUCUGAGCAAGGAACAGAGACCGAGAACUUUGGUGUGUUGGAUAUGAUAUUCCAGAGACUGCAGAACCAGGAAAGUCAGCGUUGGAUAUAUAUUUAGAGGAACCAAAAGUAGAAAUGAGAGCUCAUCCUGAUUUGAAUGUGUUGCGAUAUUGGAAAGAGAACAGACAUCGUUUUGGCGCACUAGCAUUCAUGGCAAUGGACAUUCUCAGCAUUCCUAUUACCACUGUGGCUUCUGAAUCUUCUUUCAGUAUUGGAGCUCACGUAAUAAGCAAGUACAGAACUCGCCUUAUCCCUAGAAAUGUGCAAGCUUUAUUGUGUACUCGGUUUUGGAUUCAUGGCUAUAAAGUUGAUGGUGAAGAUGAAGAUGAGAUAGUCAUUAUCCGAGAGGCUCCAAGUCAAGCACUAAUACCCAAUCAAGACCAUGUUAGUACCAUGGAACUAUAGCUGGUGAUGGUCUCAUCCCUCAUCAACAUAAUAAUAAGAGCCUCUUUGUUGUUUCUUGAAGAGAGACAGUGCACCCAGAAGCUGAGUAUAUGCCUUGAGUCUUGAUCAUCACAAGUUAAAGGGACCUUAUUUAAAUUUUAUUGCUGAUUAGAGUAUCCCUCUCCUGCAUAACGUUUCUGUAUUCCCUUGCUAUCGCAGAGUGCUUCAUAACAACGCUUUAUAUGACUCAAUACCUUUUUUUUUCAAAACUGAAGCUUGAUAUUGAUGAAUAAUGAAACCUUUUUAUCGUUA